UACCUUACCUGGCAGGGGCAAUACCAUGAUCAAGUAGGUGGUUUGCCCAAAGCGAGGCUCAGCCAUUGUACUUAGGCAGUGCUGACCUUUGCGAAUUUCCCAAAUGGAAGAAUCUCGACUGCAGAUGGUCUCGGUGGUAGCUCAAGUGGUUAAGCUCUGGGUUGUU